rnacentral:rRNA from 1 species
AUUGAACGCUGGCGGCAUGCCUUACACAUGCAAGUCGAGCGGCAGCGCGGGGCAACCUGGCGGCGAGCGGCGAACGGGUGAGUAAUACAUCGGAACGUACCCAGUUGUGGGGGAUAGCCCGGCGAAAGCCGGAUUAAUACCGCAUACGACCUGAGGGUGAAAGGGGGGGAUCGCAAGACCUCUCGCAGUUGGAGCGGCCGAUGGCGGAUUAGCUAGUUGGUAGGGUAAAGGCCUACCAAGGCGACGAUCCGUAGCUGGUCUGAGAGGACGACCAGCCACACUGGAACUGAGACACGGUCCAGACUCCUACGGGAGGCAGCAGUGGGGAAUUUUGGACAAUGGGGGCAACCCUGAUCCAGCCAUUCCGCGUGAGUGAAGAAGGCC